UAUACUACAUUCAAUACAACAGAAGGAAAAACUAUCAAAUCCAUACACCCUCCUGAACAAAGUUUGAAAAUACAAGGAAUGGCAAAUACAGUACCAAAAUCUUCAGAACAAAAUGAAGGAUUACCGUCUACUCAAAUAGUUGUAUAUGAAACAAUCGCUACACCGUAUAAACUUAAUAAUGCUAAUAUACCUCGAAUAGAAUUACUUCCACACAUAAUUGAACAAAAUAAUUAUACCAAUCUUUGUCUUCAUACACUUGGAAAACAAUCUAAUAGAAUAGAAAAUUUACUACAACCUCCUAUUCACAAAGAGAAAAAACAAUUAUUUUUCAAACCACCUCCUGAUUUAAACAAAGAAAAAUUUCUUAU
rnacentral:lncRNA from 1 species